GAUAAAUUUUAUAUGACUUGUUCUGUUUUAUGAGAGUGAAUGCUCCUGUUUUAUGAGAGUGAAUAUUAUACAUUUAAGGUACAAUAUGCCUGUAAGAAUGCGAGUGACGAUAAUGUAAAUGUUAAAAUAGAUAUUUGAUAAUGUAAUAUGGAUAAGAGCUUUUGGAACAUGAUACAGAAAAAAUUAAAAAUGAUUAUAUGUAGCACGUUAAUAAUAGAAUAAAAUGAUUAAAAUGAUUUAAUUAUGUUUAAUGUAGAGAAUCAAAUACUUUAAUACGAAGUUUGA
rnacentral:misc_RNA from 1 species